rnacentral:misc_RNA from 1 species
AAGCAAAGCGUCACAUCCCAAAACUUAUUGAGUCAUCGGAAAGGGAAGUGAUGUCGGAAUCAAGCCGGUGGACUAUGCCGGAGAUGGCCGGAAUCCUGUCAAAUAAGAUCCCUCAAGAUGAACUCAAGCCUGGAGAUCAUAUCUAUUCAUGGAGAAACGCCUAUCUCUAUGCUCAUCACGGUAUAUAUGUUGGCGAUGGUAUGGUUAUCCAUUUUACUCGAGCUGCAGGUCAAGAGAUUGGAACUGGAACUGUUUUAGACCGUUUCAUAUUCAGCUCAUCUCCUUCACAUCCCUCUGGCUCCCCAUGUCCUAGAUGUGGUGAUCAAUCAAGGACUGAAGGUGUUAUCUCAUCAUGCCUCGAGUGUUUUCUUUGUGGGGGUGAGCUGUAUCUUUUUAAGUAUGGUGUCUCACCAGGGGUUUUUAUUGCUAAAACUCGAGGAGGAACAUGCACAAUUGCCCCUUCUGAUCCACCAGAGCAUGUCCUGCACCGUGCUAAAUUUCUCCUUCAGAAUGGUUUUGGGG